UUCAGUGUAGAUGAAUUCACAAAGUUACACUCAUCAUGAUUCCCCAAGUGGAACUGCUGCACUAGGAGCAAUAGUGCCUUCAUUAGCUCUGUGAGAUGGCUGCACUGUAAGAAGAAAUCAGAUCUGGCUUAAGACAACUGCUGGGUUCUAAGAAGCUGCUUAUAAAGUUAAGCUCCAGGUUGUUCAAAUUCACGCUUUCUCCUAACACUGGAAACUGUUCCGGCAGCAGCAGCACCUUGAGAAGGACAUCAGGAGGAAGUCAGAGAGGUGAUGCUUAGCAGGGAGUUGUGUGCCUUUCUACAGGACUCUGAGUGACACAACUGUCCUCAGGUGGACUUCUGCCCUCCUGUAUGGCAAGAAACAGAAUUUUUGCAGAAUUACAGAGUAGUAAGGAUUGGAAGGGACCCCUGGAGAUCUCCGAGUCCAACUAAGGGGCUAUGUACCUGCGCAUUACUUUUGACUCACACAGUGUUCAAGCUCAAAAAGCAGGAGAUCAUUUUUAGUAUUUAUCAACUCCUAGUCAACCACAGCAUCAUCACUUUGAGUUCCUUGUUCCUUUGUAAGGUUAUCGCAGCUGUACCUCUCCUAAAUUCCAUACUCUGGCAGCACUCUACAUCUCCAGCAUUCAGAUUCCUGCAACCUUCCCGUUGGCCCACAUCCUCACGCAGUCUUCAUGGUCCUCUGCAGCAGGCAGCUCCACAAAGGGUCUCACCUCGUCAAAAGCCAUUUCAUAAGAGCGUGAGAUUAGCAGAGCGGCAGCUGAAACAAAAGCUACCUGUUAAAUACACCGAAGGUCAGCUACAGGAGGAUGAUGCUGGAUGCUACAAAAACAAGGCCUCAAGGUACACAGAACAGAUGCAAAUUAUAAUUAGGAGUGACUGCAGCCCUAGUUUUCCUAAACCUCAGCUCUAGUGUCUCAGUCUGUCUUCCCAUUCUCCCUGUAAGACAGCCAAAGCUGCUGGACUCUCCAACUAUUUAGAAGAUUUUCAAACAUUACCUCUUCAUGAAAACCUGAAAAUGAAAUACCUGCAGGUAGUAAGCUUGGUUUUUCAGGUUGUGUAGCAUUCGGGAACUUUCUCUUGUACCUGGGAUUACUAGCAGUUCAGCACUAAAUCAAACUUCUGAUUUAAGUUUUUGACAGGGUGAACAUUAAUGACUUUACACAACUUUAAUGGAAAAUAAGCAGCAUAAUUGACCCAGUUUGACACAGGGAACGAACUGAAGUUUAAAAUGACUCAGUUCCCAAAAGUUUUAUCAUGGAAUUUCUCUUUGUUAUUGUUACUGUAUUUGAGAGAAAUAUAGCACACACAGAAGACUAGUAGCUAUUUUGGUCAGUAAUGCUUGAAAAAAAAAAACCUACUUUUACAGUUUUAUUAGAAAUGGUAUACUGAGAGACUGGAUUUGUAUUCUAUGUUUUCUUAGGCAAGGCUGCAGUAUACGUGCAGUUUUGCUGGCAGAAUUUGAAUCAUUAAUUUAUGUGAUCCAAAGGUAGUGAGGAAUCCAGAAAACCAUUUUAAAAUGUGUGUAAGUCAGACAUUUAAAGAUGAAGCAUCCAGAUUCUUUCUAUAGCCUAUUGCUGUGUAAACUUCUUUUCGGUUCCUUCUUGAGUGUGCCAAUAAUUUUUUUUUCUCUUUGGUAAGGCUUCUUUUUCAGAGUAACCCAGUGUAUGAAAAAGUGCUUUAAAACAUCUGUUCUGAAUUUGUUUUUUAAUUAAUUAACAAGUAAAUGCUUUUCUGGUUGUGGUGAAUAUGGCAACUUGAGUUAACGUCAUUUACUGUCUUAAAAAACGUAAAGACUUCAAUUAUAUCAUGAUCUUUCUCCUCAGAUAAUUUUAAGAUGAUGUAGUUUCAACCUCUGUAGUUCCUCCUCAUUUCUACAUGUUUUUAAUAUGAGAUUCAGGUUUAUUAACAGCUCUAUCACUUUACAGUGCUACAGGAUGCUAUUAGAUAACAAGGCUAGGAGAUCAGAAUUCAUCACGCAGGUUUCAAUUUCCUUACCCUUAGAAACAGAGCUGCAGAUACCACGGAGAUGUACUCCCCUCAUUUUUUCAGUAUCUAAUACUUUAAUACUUGGCACUUAAUCUUUAUUCAAGACACCAGUAAAGCAGAUGAGCAAAAUUAUUGUAAAGUCUUUUCGUGCAGGAAUUAUCUUCCCUUCUUCACCUCUUCAGUCUAUCAUACAUCAAUUUGUGGUCAUAACGUACAAAAUAACAGUUUUCUACUUGAAAGAAAAUAAAAUUCUUGGCUCAGUUCAGAACAAGGCUCCGGGAUAGCUCCUUGGAUGUAGGCUACAGGCAUUCUGUCUCUGACAGGACUUUGCUUUGCUCUCUCCACAUGUCCAGAGAGGUGUUACGUGGCAGAAAAGUGUUCGGAAUGAGGGACUGGGCCUCUACCACCUUCGGUGACAUUGGGCCACUUGGGGCAAAGGACUGAUCAGCAAGCAUAGCAUCCACUUCUCUCACCUGGCAACGAAGCCCAUGGAGCACCAGCUCCAUUUAUGCCGCUGAAUGCAUUUAAGCUAUUCAUUAGUUUUUCAAUUACUACAGAUGAGCACAUGAGCUCUUCUUCUUCCUCCUCAUUCUUUCAUCCUCCUUGUCCCAGAAUGGCUUUUAGCUACAAUGACUGGAACUCAGACAAGCAGUUUCACAUCUUUUCUUGCAGGAGAAGAGAAUGAAGAUUUAUAGUGUGAGCUACCAAAUGAUGAACGAGGGGGAAGUGAUUCCUCCUCCUGCUAUUUGGGGAAAUAUAAUCUUGCAUUUUAGACUUGGAGAACAGUCUUUUUUUUUUUCCAGAUCAAAUAAAAUAUUUUGUGUAGGAAUGACCUUCUUGUUUAAGCAAGGAAAAUGGAAGAAAUAUAUUUGUUUCAGGCUGAACUGAUUUAGAUUUUGGUUCAGUUUUUGAUCUAACAUCACGGUACUGAGGAUAAAAUAUUGAGCAGCGCAGUGAAGAAGGUUAUGCUGUAGUUACCAUUCAUGGCCAAUAUACUUUAAGCUGGUAAGAAAUACUAAGCAAAAUGAUAUAGUGGGAACACAUAACUAUGCUUGUAAAAUAAUUUACGCUUCUCCUUUUUUACUGACUACUGCCUUCUCUCACACAAAAUCACAGAAUCAUAGAAUAUCCCAAGCUGGAAGGGACCCACAAGAAUCACCGAGUCCAACUCUGGAUCCGCACAGGACCACCCAAAACCUAUGUCUCUGAGCAGUGUCCAAAUGCUCUCUGAGCUCCAGCAGCUCAGGGCCAUGCCCACUGCCCUCUGGUGCAGAGCAUUUACCCCAAACCAACCUGAUGCACUCCCCUGAUGCAGCUCCAUGCCAUUCCCUCAGGACCUGUUACUGUUACCAGAGAGCAGAGAUCAGUGC